CUCUCCAUGUAGCAGCUACAUUAUUGUCAUCAAGGACAAGUCUUUUGAGAAGGGCGUGCAUCAAAUCCCACCCUGGUUUUUCACCAAAUUACCAGUUUGCCCCUUCUCUUCACCAUCACCAAAACCAAAACCAUCCUCUUCAAUGCAGAGCCCUCGAGCUUUGUUUCAACGUCGCACUCAACAGGCUUCCCACUAUCCCCGGUCCCAUGUUCCACGGCCAGCCUUCUCUCGCGAACGCCCUCGUCGCCGCGCUCAAAAGAGCUCAAGCUCACCAGAGACGAGACUGCAUCGAGCAGCAUGGAUACAUAUUAGGAAUUGAGAUCAUGUUUGGUACAAGAUCUUUUUGAGGUUUUGAAUGUUUCGGGUUUUAUUGGAUAUCCAUUUAGAUUCGGGUUCGGUUCGGAUAAUACCCAUAACCCGAAAUACCACAAAACAAGAUCCAUUCGGUAUUUACGUCGGGUUCGGAUCGGUUCGGAUUCAUUUUUAUCGGAUCGAAUUCGGUUCGGGUUUUCGGGUUCGGUUUAUUUGCCCAGCCCUACACAAAGUCGUCAGAACUCAGAAUGAUCUGGUGAUAACUGAUGAGCAAUCAAUAAAGUUAAAAUUCAAUCCAACCUUGACACAAGACCCUAAAGUAAAUCCAAUGCUAACGUUAACAAUUGGGCCUAGAUUUUGUUAGUCCCAUAGAUUUGAAGGAUGCUCACUCAAAUCAAGUGGACCUAUAAAUGCGUCCAAUCCAUAAGUAAACAAGACAACAAACUCAACGACAUCAGUUUUAGGAGUAAGAAUUAGAACUGAAUCUGUUAAGAGACGUUUUUAAUUUUAUCAUGAAAAUCUAACUAAAGAUUUCCUCUGUUUAAUUUGUAAGGAAGAAGUUACGUUUAAAAUAAAUAAAUAUAAAGUGUGAAAUGCCAUAAAGGAGCAGUUACUUUUAGAUAUUUCUUUGGUUAGAUUCGUAACUUGACCAUGGUCUUGAAGUGAUCACUAAACUAAAUUAUUGUUGAAAAUAGUUAUAACGUCCCAGCCGUCUACGGCUAAUGGAUUAUCCAUAGCCACUCUUUCGACCUGUAGAUUUCAUCCUGUUCCAACGAUCGGUCCGUUAAUUUUUAUAAAAGCUCAAAAUUAUUGUUUACUGAUCCUGCAAUCACCAUCCGAUCUUUUCACAUGCUUUGGCCUCACUCGCACGCUAUCGUGAAUCACUUUCCGAUAGAUCACUCAUCCUUUUACUACUUCAGUUCAAGCAUGCUUAACUCUAGAGUUCUUUAAGGAUGUACUCUGAAAAAAGUAAGUCAACUUUAGUGACACAAGUAACUAAAUCAAUUUUCUUAAGUCUAAGUAACUAAAUCAAUUUUUUUAAGCAUUUUUCACAUAUCACAAUUCGAAACGUUACAAUAGUCUUCACUAAAACAAAACAAAAAGGAAUCUUAAAUUGUUUAAGACGAGGAAAGCUUGGGGAGCAAGAGUGGGCAGUGUCUAGGUAACGGUGAGGAAACCUUGGGCGCAAUGCACUUUGACACGACCGCUUCUUCAAAGUCAACAUUCUCACGUGUCCCUCUUUUUUCUCAAAGCAUUACUUUACCUUUUAUAUUUAACACUUUAAUUAAAGUGGAGUGCUUUAAUUAGAUUAUUAUUAAUAAUAAUAUAGACGCGUCUCGUCAUGAUACCGUCAUGAUUACAUCGUUUUUAAAGGUGACGUCACCGCUGGCGUCUCUUGACUUUGCUCCUCUUAUUAGAUUAGAUUCAGAUACUGCAUUUUUCUAAUGACUGAUCAGGAAGACUUUCUGCUUUAUUUAUUUUGUGUAUUUUAUAUUGCAAACUAAUUAUUUCGUAGGAUACCAUAUUUAAUUUGAUUUGUUUUUUCUCGUUACAAUUUGUGAUUCUUUUGAACCUGAUGACAAAGAAACUCUAAGGAAUGAACUCUACAAAUUGUGAAAUGAAAAUCCAGUGUGGUAUCUAUCAUAUGUGCACUUACACUUAAGUUUCGCUAACCAGCGUUACCCGCACUUUGGUGUCUCUUUCUAGGUCUGAACUUUGGACCCCUUGAACGGACGUGAGACGUCUCAGUGCUCGAUCUGCUAUAUACUACGAAUUUGAAUAUAUGAACCCAUAAUAAACUAAUAAUACUAUAGUACUACUGCGUUAGCAUUAUCUACUUAGCACAAAACUAACUAAGGUCAUCUCCACCGAAACACUAAAUUUGAUGUAGUUUCAUCUCUAACAAAACACUAAAAUUGAUACCAUUUCACCAAAUUUAGUGUAAUGUGAAUAGUGUUACACUAAAUUUGGUUUAACACUGUUCAUCACACCAAAUCUUUAAAAUACAUAUUUUUAUGUUUCAUUUAAUAAUAUAGUUCAAUUACUAUCAAAUUUGUAGUUAAACAUAAAUAUAUUAUAUUAUUUUUUAUUUUUAAUUUAUUUUCACAUAAAUAAAAAUUAAAUUUUUAUUUUUAUUUUCAAAACAAAUAACUAAAUGACUAUUAUCAUUUAUCACUUACAAAUAAUAAAAAUUUCAAACUGGAAACAUAAAUAAUAAAUAAUACUCCCUCUGUUUUUAUCUGUAAGUAGUUUUAGUUAAAAGUGUGAAUAUUAAGAAAAAAUUUACUUUUGAAAAAAUAGCAUUUAAUACAUAAAUUCAACCAAUAAUAAAAAUGUAUUAAUUAUUUGAUUGGUCAUACAACACGUAAUAAAUGUAAAAUGUGUUUUGUAUUAUGUAAACAUCUUACAUUGUGAAACAAACAUUUUUUGCUAAAACUACUUACAUAUCAAAACAGAUGGAGUAUUACUUUUGAUGUAAAAUUUAGUGUCAUUGUUAGAGUUGACAAAAUAAUUAUAACAACAAAACACUGAAUUUGGUGUAAUUUCAACACCAAAUUUGGUGCCAUUGUUGGAGAUGCCACCAGAUUUGGUAUGGUUUCAUCUCCAAUGAGAUACCAAAAAUAACACUAUCCCACCAAAUUUGGUGUAGAGUGAAUAAUUACACCAAAUUUGGCGUAACACUAUUCAUCACACCAAAUAUUAAAUAUUCAUAUUUUAUUAUGUUUCAUAUAGAUAUGGUUCAAUUAUUAUUAUUAAUCAGUUCAAAUUUGUUAUUAAACAUAAAUAUAUUAUAUUAUUUGUAUUUUUAAAUUAUUUUACAUAAUUAAAAUAUAUUUUUUAUUUUAUUUUCAAAUAAGAAAUCACAAAAUGAUUAUUAUCAAUUUCUUUAUAUUGUAAAAAUAAAAUAUCAUAGAACUUUUAUAUUUUAUUUAAAAUAUCGAUUAUAAUAUUUAUUCGAGUUAUAUUUAAUCAGUAAUAAAAAAUUAAGAAUAUUACAUUAUUGUAAUGUUAGAUUUAAUUGUAAAUAGUUAAAACUUUAUGUAAUACUAUUAAAUUCACCUAAAAAUAAAAUAACAUUCUUAUUUUUUUAUUUUAUAACAUAGUUAUACUUGUAUUACUAACUAAUACAAUUUUUAUUAAAAUAAAUAUAUAAUUUUGUCAUGUGCUUUUCAUAAUUAAUAGUUUGUAAUUUUUAAUAGAAUAUUAUAUAUAAAAUAAAUACACAAAAUGUAUAAUAUUGUUAAACCAAAAAUAUAGAUGUAAAUAAAUUUGAUAAACAUAUAAUUAAAAAAAUUAACAAACAUAAUAUCUAAGUGUGAUAAAUCAACUAUUUAUCAAUUUCAAAUAAUAAAAAUAUAAAAAUUAUUAAAACUGAAAACAUCAAAUAAUAUAUAAUAUUAUUUUUGGUGUAAUAUUUGGUGUCAUAGUUGGAGAUGACAAAACAAUGUCAGCAAAACACCAAAUUUGGUGUAAUUUCGACACCAAAUUUGAUGUCAUGGUGGAGAUGUCAUAAGACCAUCUUCAAUGGUUCACUUUAAUUUUUACAUUAAAAUAGAUUAACUCUAUAAUAAAGUAACUCUAUAAUAUAGUUGUGAUAUAUUCCUAUGAUAUUUUAUUUUAGAGUAAAAAAUAGAGCGAUGAACAAAAAAAAAAUUACUUUAUAUAUAGAGUAAACCCAUUUUUACUCUAUUAUAGAGCGAAAAAUAGAGUAUCAUUAAAAUAUUUUUACUCUUAAAUAGGGUGAAAAAUAGGGUGGGGACGGAGAUGCCUUAAGAUUAAGACAUUCGAAUUCAGGAAAGUACUAACCGCAUUUCACCACGCAUAACAAAAAUGAAAGUUAAUUAUUUGUACUAACAAAUUUCUGUUGCCAAAGAAAAUGCGGUUGAUGUAUCAGAACACACUAAAAAUACAAAACACCUUUCACUUUAGAGUUAACACCAACUCUUAUGACAUAAAUAGAUAAAUGAGUGAUUUUAUGAUGUAAACAAAAAAAGAGAGAGAGAUGAGACAGAAGGUUGCUUUUGCAGUAUUCCGGGAAUGAAACGCUGUCUCUCUCCUAGGAUUGGCGUGAGAGAAAGAGAGAGAGCCCAUUCCUCUCUUUUGUCCUUCUUGUAAUUAAUUGAUUUUCACUGUUACAAUAAAAUAUUUUUAAUUAAAUUUAUCAUUGUAAUAUAUCUUUAUCGGAGAUUAAACAAAUGAGACUCUAAAUAACCUUUUUAGGACCAACCUAAGAUAUACAUAAAAAGAGCAAGAAGAUCUUUGUUGGUCACUCCUACGCACAUCAAUGCAAAAAGAGAGUAACGUCGGUUAUAAUCAUAUAAUAAAUAUAAUUUCGUAUACAAUGUUAAUUUAAUCUUCUAAUUUAAUUAUUAUUGCUAAAAAUGUAAAUAGCAUUUUAGAAUUACUUUGAGGUUUACAAGAUGUGAUUAACAAACUAUAAAACUUUUAAACUUGUUUCACAACAAAAAGUUUAUGAAAAAACAUGGAAGAAAAAUCAACAUUUUAAUCUAUUAACUAAAUUUAUUGUUGGCAGUUUAAUUACCAUGCAUUAUAGAAUUUUAAUACGUUUUCAAUGAGGUCUUCAUAUCUUCUUUUUUUGUGUGCACCAUGAGGUCUCCAUAUCUACAAGUGAACAACUUGAUUUAACAAAAAGAAAUAGGAGUGACAAGUUUUAUAGCAAUAAGUAGGAUCACCACAACUCUGUAAAACUUGAAAAUCGGUUAUAAUAUCUUAACAUUUUAACCCAAAAAAAAAAAAAUUUAUAGCAAUACUUUUCUUGUGAUUAAUCCAUCGAAAGUUAUUAACCAAAAACAAAUAUUAUUAUUAUUAUUAUUUCUUUAAUCAAAAACAAUUAUACUAUGUCGACUAAUUUCAGCGGGUGGGCAUAUAUUAAAGUGAAAAUUAUAUUGAAAAAUGCAGCUUUUUAUGCUCUUAUUCCCUAAUAAUUACCAUAUAUUAAAGGAAAUGAUGAGCAAAAAUGGUACACUGAAGCUGCACUGUAAAUAAAAGAAGACAAAAGUUGAGUGAAAUGCAAAAAUCAAAAGCAUACAAAAGCUGCUCGUUUGUCCAAAAAGAAACCCAUCAUAAAGUAAAAGCAUUAUGAGAUCAAAAACACCUUUAAAAUAAACUAAAUAAAACUUUUUAAAAAAUUUCAAAAAAUAAUACAAGAUGAGGAACAGAAAAGCCAGCAUGAAAUAAGUAUAAAGGAACCAGCUUGGUCUAAGUUCCACAUCUGACUAAAACUCUCUUAAACCUUCUCUCUCUCUCUCUCCCAAAUUUCUCUCACUCUUCUUUACAGUCUCCAAACAUAAGAAAGGAAGCUCCUUUUCUUUUACUCUGUUUCUUCCACUUGUGGGCUAUACUUAUUUGGGGUGUGGUUAAAGGAGGAGGAGGCAGAAGUUUUCAAGUUAACACCAGACAGCUUUCGAUAGUGGUUGUUUUCAGUUUCAAAAAGGUGGGGGUGGGGGUUAGGGUUUAGGUUUAACAAGUUAUGCGAACAGGUGGUUAUACGAUUCAACAGACACUCACUACAGAGGCUGCUUCUGUCUUGAAGCAAUCUCUCACGCUAGCUCGGAGAAGAGGCCAUGCUCAGGUUUCACUCAAAGUUUGGAUCUUUUGUUUUUUUAAAGUUUGGAUCUUUUCAUGUUUUACUAAAGGGAAAAGUUUUUUUGUUUUUUUUAUGGGUUCGGUUCAGGUCACUCCUCUCCAUGUAGCAGCUACAUUAUUGUCAUCAAGGACAAGUCUUUUGAGAAGGGCGUGCAUCAAAUCCCACCCUGGUUUUUCACCAAAUUACCAGUUUGCCCCUUCUCUUCACCAUCACCAAAACCAAAACCAUCCUCUUCAAUGCAGAGCCCUCGAGCUUUGUUUCAACGUCGCACUCAACAGGCUUCCCACUAUCCCCGG
rnacentral:lncRNA from 1 species